rnacentral:tRNA from 1 species
CCCUGGUUAGCUCAAUUGGUAGAGCGCUCCACCUGUAAUGGAGAGGUCCCGGGUUCAACCAGGCG